AGUAAGGUCUCCUGCUGCAGUCGAUGAAACUCCUAACAACAGCAGCACUUACCCUAAAAAGUAUCUUGGGAGCCGUAUUCAAUGUGGAAACCAUGGACAGAUCAGGGAAGAAACUUCUGAGGUGCUUCCAAGGUGUCACAAGGAGACCCAGCUGCGUUUGUACACGCUCUGCAGUCGGGAGAGCCACGGGAGCAGCUGAGGGCUGGCAUCUCCCCCUGCAGAAGGCAGACUGUUGUGGCUGGUAAUCCCCUGAACUGCCACUGGAAAGUUUGAUAAAGCUGCUCUGGCAGAGCUCUUCAUGGUCUAUGCUUUCCUACCACCUUAAAAGCAAUCCACUUUCCUGGACUCUGGAAGUGACACACAGCUUGCAGAGACUCAACAAAGCUGAAAACAGAGUGGCAGGAUUGAAAGAAAGAGGCAGCGACUUCCAAUUUGGAGGUGGACUUGCAAGUGAUUGGUAAGGGUAAGUUUUUUCUUCUCUCUUGUUUUGGGUAUUGUU